UUUUUCUUGUUUGAAAUGAGCUACGUUCUAUCUGCAAUAUGCCAAGCUGCGACAAGGCAACCGAUGAACCUGCUGCGUGACGCAAAAGUGACAAUAUCUAGAGUGGUCUUCAAGUAAUUGUGCUGACAUUCACGGGAAAAGACGGGUGUCGCUGUGCAACUAGUCGUGCUGAUUUUCGGUAAACGAAUAACAGCGUUGACGGCAUCAUACGGCCUGACAUCGCAGCUCUUUAGGAAAUCGGAUUCCCUUUGUGCUCGAAAUUUCCUCACAUUGCACCGGCUAAUCUUCAGAUGGACUGUCAUACAUGUACCCCGGUAAAAUCUCGUGAUAUAGAUGUCUGCUCGCCUGGUUUAAAUUCCCGCCUUUCCCCUUGGUUAUUAGCAGACAACGCUGCUCAUUUGAGGAAAAAAAGAAAACAGCUUUACCGAAGUCUUUGACGUGUCGUGGCCGACGGACGCUCCUGUUGCCAGGGCUAAUAAUAUAUAAGCGCCCUGACGGCCUCGCUGAAUUGAAUAAACAGCAAUAAGUAAUUUAUAGCACCAUAUCUAUGGAACUGUAGUCGACGACUUUGAACUCUGGUGGCCUGUGAUUUUGUGACGCAGCAGCAGCCUCGAUUUGACAUGGAACAAGAGAGCAGCAUUGUGAUCCUCGAGGGAGAAGUGAAGCACCGAGACAUGCGCAAGUGGCGGACACGAUGGGCCGUGUUGACCAAACAGUCACCAGUGUCAGGGGUGCACGGCGGCCAUCAGCGCAGCAGCCGCGGACAGCAGCAGAGGACAACCCCGCCCCUUUCAGAUCGCGCGCGUCCCCAGGAGAGGGGCCC